UACGAAGGGGGCUAGCGUUGCUCGGAAUUACUGGGCGUAAAGCGCACGUAGGCGGUCUUUUAAGUCGGGGUGAAAUCCCGGGGCUCAACCCCGGAACUGCCUUCGAUACUGGGUAUCUUGAGUUCGGAAGAGGUGAGUGGAAUUGCGAGUGUAGAGGUGAAAUUCGUAGAUAUUCGCAGGAACACCAGUGGCGGAAGGCGGCUCACUGGUCCGAUACUGACGCUGAGGUGGCGAAAGCG
rnacentral:rRNA from 1 species